CAGUCGCCACGGGAAUACAGAGGGUGCAAGCGUUAAUCGGAAUUACUGGGCGUAAAGCGCGCGUAGGUGGUUUGUUAAGUUGGAUGUGAAAUCCCCGGGCUCAACCUGGGAACUGCAUCCAAAACUGGCAGGCUAGAGUAGGGCAGAGGGUGGUGGAAUUUCCUGUGUAGCGGUGAAAUGCGUAGAUAUAGGAAGGAACACCAGUGGCGAAGGCGACCACCUGGGCUCAUACUGACACUGAGGUGCGUAAGCGUGGGGAGCAAACAGGAUUAGAUACCCCCGUAGUCCCUGUCUCUUAUAC
rnacentral:rRNA from 1 species